GGAGCAUCUCUGCCCGGCAGCCACCCCGUCCGGGAGGGAGGUUCCCUGCUCAGAUGGAGAGUUAAACGUAAUAGUAAGGCCAGGUACAGUGGCAUAAACCUGUAGUCUCAGCUACUUGGGAGGAUCCCUUGAGCCCAGGAGUUCAAGACCAGCCUGGCAAGACAUAGCAAGAUCCUAGCUCUUUAAAAAAAAAUAGUAAUUCCCCUUCCUCAAAAUUAUAUUAAUAAGGCUACUUCAUCUGGACAUUCAUCAGUCUCAAGGUAUGGUUCAUCUGGAGACAGAAUCAUUCCUGCACUUGGUACUUUUGGAGUCUGUUUAUUCACCUCACAAUUUUAAGUACUUUAUAUUUAACAAAAUACAAAAACUGGGUGCUUUCAUAAAUGUUUUCUCAUCUAAUUCUUGGAACAGCUUAGUGGAGUAUUUAAUAUUAUCCCCCAUUUUACAGAUGCAGACCUCUGUUGAAUGACUGCCAGACGUAAGGGUUCUGCUUUGAGAAACUGAUAGAAUCCAAUUUAUGUUCUGUAGAUUAUGCUGUUUCCAUCUCACUUCAAUAAAUACUUAUCAAGCA
rnacentral:lncRNA from 1 species